ACAACAGACACCACCUCCUGCUGAAGUGAUGAUUCCCCAAGCCACCUUACUUCCUCGCCUCCCCUUGAGGUCCAGUUGUCCAGCUCUUCCUUAAAUGCCAUGAGGUAUCCCAGUAUCUCUCCAGUCAAUUCCAUCAUUGGCCUCAGCUAACAUUUUUAACAAAUACAUCCUAGUAGUCUUAUCUGCAGGUAGCCUCAGAAGAAAAUUAAUAGAGCUGGGUCCCAAAGAAAGCUGCUUUUGUAUUGUAUUACUAGUCAACCCACACACUGCAGCAUGACCUGAACUAGGAAACAGUAAAUAAGUGGCUUAAAAAGGUGGCAGCUUCAAUCAAAUACACCAAGUUGAAGACUCAGGAAAGCAACACCAUUUCUGAAGUGGUAGUCAUCUGUAUUAACUUGCUUGGAGAUGUCCUAAGACAAUGUAUCUUCAAUGUCAAUAGAAACAAGUGAUAUAAAAUCAGAGUGCCUUUCUGUUCGUCAUUAACCUGGACAAGCCACACUCCCCCCGGAACUUUACCAAUCUCUGGGCUCAGAUUAUCCAUUUAUAGUGCUAGCACCCAAGACAUCAACCAUUUGUUGUUACUGAGAAAGGAAAUUGGUUGCAUGGAGAAUUAGGUAAGCCUGUAUUUCUUCCAACUGGUCACCCACUCAAUCUAUC